rnacentral:rRNA from 1 species
GACGAACGCUGGCGGCGUGCCUAAUACAUGCAAGUAGAACGCAGUUGCGAACGGGUGAGUAACGCGUAGGUAAAUGCCUCAUAGCGGGGGAUAACUAUUUGAAACGAUAGCUAAUACCCCAUACUGUUAGCUGGACCUGCGUUGUAUUAGCUAGUUGGUGAGGUAAAGGCCCACCAAGGCGACGAUACAUAGCCGACCUGGGAGGGUGAACCGGCAAACUGGGACUGGGGCACGGCCCACGCUCCUACCGGGGGCAGCCGUAGGGGAUCUUCGGCCAUUGGCGGAAGUCUGACCGAGCAACGCCGCGUGAGUGAAGAAGGUUUUCGGGUCUUAAAGCUAUGUUGUGAGAGGAGCGGUAACUAACCAGAAAGGAACGGCUAACUACGUGCCAGCAGCCGCGGUAAUAC